rnacentral:rRNA from 1 species
GAACCAGGGGAACUGAAACAUCUAAGUACCCUGAGGAAAAGAAAUCAACCGAGAUUCCCUUAGUAGUGGCGAGCGAACGGGGACUAGCCCUUAAGUGGCUUUGAGAUUAGCGGAACGCUCUGGAAAGUGCGGCCAUAGUGGGUGAUAGCCCUGUACGCGAAAGUCUCUUAGUCAUGAAAUCGAGUAGGACGGAGCACGAGAAACUUUGUCUGAAUAUGGGGGGACCAUCCUCCAAGGCUAAAUACUACUGACUGACC